UGGGGAAUAUUGCACAAUGGGCGCAAGCCUGAUGCAGCCAUGCCGCGUGUGUGAAGAAGGCCUUCGGGUUGUAAAGCACUUUCAGCGAGGAGGAAGGUGGUGAGCUUAAUACGCUCAUCAAUUGACGUUACCCGCAGAAGAAGCACCGGCUAACUCCCGUGCCAGCAGCCGCGGUAAAUACGGAGGGUGCAAGCGUUAAUCGGAAUUACUGGGCGUAAAGCGCACGCAGGCGGUUUGUUAAGUCAGAUGUGAAAUCCCCGGGNUCAACCUGGGAACUGCAUUUGAAACUGGCAAGCUAGAGUCUCGUAGAGGGGGGUAGAAUUCCAGGUGUAGCGGUGAAAUGCGUAGAGAUCUGGAGGAAUACCGGUGGCGAAGGCGGCCCCCUGGACGAAGACUGACGCUCAGGUGCGAAAGCGUGGGGAGCAAACAGGAUUAGAUACCCUGGUAGUCCACGCUGUAAACGAUGUCGAUUUGGAGGUUGUGCCCUUGAGGCGUGGCUUCCGGAGCUAACGCGUUAAAUCGACCGCCUGGGGAGUACGGCCGCAAGGUUAAAAACUC
rnacentral:rRNA from 1 species